rnacentral:lncRNA from 1 species
AAAAAACUCAGUUUUAUAAUUGAUAUGUAUAUACACUGAAUUCAUAAAAUUUUCUUUUGAUAUUUUAACAUAAAUUUGCACCAGCUGCUUACAUGAUUUGUGAACUUUUAUUUUAUUUCAGUUAGUAUUUGUAAGUAUUCCAUAGCCAGCCCAGGGGGCAAGAAUAUUACCUGGCAAUUAUACUAACCGUAGUUGUCUCUGAGCAAGUGUGAUCUCCAGGCCAGCAGUAUUAGCAUAAUUUGGGAACUUCUAAGAUACAUAUUUUAAACCUUCAGCAAGACAUACUGCAUAAUCAGAAAUGCUGUUGUUCAGUGAUCUAUUUUAUGAAAUCUUACAGGUGCUUCCAAUGUCUACCAAUGUGUUCUCAUUGUUUUUGCUAAACAGAAGGAUUGAAUAUACAUGUAAAAUUAUUCAGAACAUGGAAAUUCAAUCACCUCAAGUUACUUAAUUGGAUUUUUUAACCUUCCCUGGGUAUGCCUAAAAAAGUAUUUUUUAGAAACUAAUUAUUCAUGAUCCAUUUAAAAAUAAGUGAAUUUAUAAAUUUGUAAAUAUAUCAGUUGAAUGUAAUAGCACUUUAAAAAAUUAACAAGUUUGUACUUAGAUAUGAAUUCCCUUAUUGAAAUACAUAAUGAUUUCCCAUCAGUAGUACUUCUAAAAAUUGUUGUAAUCUGUGUUUAAGAGAUGUUAUAGCUUUUUUCAUAGACCUGGCAUAGAGUACUGAACAUGAAGAGAGAUUCAGACUUGAUGUUACUUUACCCUAAUAAUAUCAAAUUCCUCUUAUUCUAGGAAAUCAUUAUAUAUAUGGUAAUUGUAACUUAGUUAUAAACAUAUUUCUCAGCCCUACAGAUGAAAUUCUAGCUUUCUUAAAUCUUU